CGGAGCACGUGAAACUUUGACUGAAUAUAGGUGGACCAUCAUCUAAGGCUAAAUACUCCCAACUGACCGAUAGUGAACCAGUACCGUGAGGGAAAGGCGAAAAGAACCCCUGUGAGGGGAGUGAAAUAGAACCUGAAACCGUGUACGUACAAGCAGUAGGAGCCCUUCGAGGGUGACUGCGUACCUUUUGUAUAAUGGGUCAGCGACUUAUAUUUUGUAGCGAGGUUAACCGAUUAGGGUAGCCGUAGUGAAAGCGAGCGUUAACUGCGCGUUUAGUUGCAAGGUAUAGACCCGAAACCCGGUGAUCUAGCCAUGGGCAGGUUGAAGGUUGAGUAACAUCAACUGGAGGACCGAACCCACUAACGUUGAAAAGUUAGGGGAUGACCUGUGGCUAGGAGUGAAAGGCUAAUCAAACCGGGAGAUAGCUGGUUCUCCCCGAAAUCUAUUUAGGUAGAGCCUCGGACGAAUACUUACGGGGGUAGAGCACUGUUAAGGCUAGGGGGUCAUCCCGACUUACCAACCCUUUGCAAACUCCGAAUACCGUAAAGUACUAUCCGGGAGACACACGGCGGGUGCUAACGUCCGUCGUGAAGAGGGAAACAACCCAGACCGCCAGCUAAGGUCCCAAAGUCAUAGUUAAGUGGGAAACGAUGUGGAAAGGCCCAGACAGCCAGGAGGUUGGCUUAGAAGCAGCCAUCCUUUAAAGAAAGCGUAAUAGCUCACUGGUCGAGUCGGUCUGCGCGGAAGAUGUAACGGGGCUAAACUAUGCACCGAAGCUGCGGAUUCAAA
rnacentral:rRNA from 1 species